AGUAUGGAGUAAAUGUAAAAUUUUACAAUAAAAUUUUAUGAUAUCGAAGCAUUAUGUUAAGGCCACUGUUGCUUAGCAAGGUUCCUGCUACGCAUCUUUAAGUCUGGAUCUAAAUCUUCAGUUAUCAAACUACUGAGAUAUCUGAAUUUGGUAGAAAAAUUUGGGCUGUUGGACAAGGUAGUGAUGUGAACGUCGCUCACGAACAUUUGCGAAUAUUGUUGCUGUAGCCCAAGACUUGGGUCUUAAGACUUAUAAAGCGCUACGUCCCAGACAAGCAACGAAACCAUCGAUCUUUCACAAAAUUGGUCACCCAGAUCUUGGGAUUUAACACCUUAUGAUUUCUUCCUUUGGGCCACGUGAAAGACCUACGCCAAUAGCCUAGUAUCGACUCAGGAUCUCAAAAAUGUCCUGUAAGCGUAGCAGUGGUGGCCAUUUAGCCGACAUUGUUUUCCAUUAUUAAUGGCAUACCUUCCUUUUUACAUUGAAACAAUCAUGGGAUCACUUAUCGCAGAAAAUGCCAUUUCUCUAUGAAUAUAAAAAUACCACCUUUUAUUGGAAGCAAUUCGUUUUUGUAUUGAAAACGCAAUAUAAAUAAUUGCAGUCAUCAAAAUUAUUUGUAAAUGUGCUUGAACAGGUCACGGAGGAAAUCUUUAUCAGUAAUUGAUGAUUUGCGGUGGCAUAGUCGGUCAUAAAAUUAAGAGGGAAGGUUCCUCGACAGAGAUAGCAUCUCUUACCGGAUACCAAUAGUUUCCACUACAAAACAGUUAUUACAGAUACUGCACGAUAUCAUUCUAGACUUACUGAAAGUGUACCAAAUGCAUCGACAAGAAAAAAAGUAAAAUGCGAGUUGUUAAAAAUUGCCAAAAAUUACAAAACAAACUUGCCGUAAGGCAAGGCACGAUGAUACUGCGGUAGGAAGGCAGUUUUCCAGACAGUUACCGAAGAAAAUUUAAUCAGUCGUAUAAGAUAAUAUAUAAAUGAAUACUGGGAAAAAGAGAAUACUCUUAUUAUUUUAGACGAAAGAUCAUUUUCUAGUAGUAGCAGUUCCGAUGUUCUCAAUAUGGGUAAGAUAUUUAGAGACAAAAAUAAAAAAUGUGUCAAAAAUUAUAGACCUAUAACUGCACCGUCUGUAUUUCCAAAAAUAUUAGAAUACGCAUUCAACAAUCGACUCUUUGCUUUUUUAAUGCAAAAUAAAAUAAUAUAAACAACUCAAUGCGGUUUUCAAAGUGGUUAUAAAUACAAUGACAGUAGUACCCUCAUUCUAUAAAUGAAUGAUGAUAAAUAAA